AGUAAGGUCAGCUAGCAAAGCUAUCGGGCCCAUACCCCGAAAACGAUGGUGAAAUUCCUUCCCCUACUA
rnacentral:tRNA from 1 species